UUUACCUUGUAGCAUUUACCUAUUAUUGAUUUUACUAUCAGUACUCACUGUUCACUAGAGUGUAUAGGUUUUCUUGUAUUCUGAUUGGUUUAUUAAGCCUUGCCCCCAGUUUUGGUGGUAGUUUUGAAAACAGUAAUGGAGGAUUGAUGUCUUUGUUGUGAUCCUGAUAUAUUCGAUUGUUUUGAUGCACUUUGUGCUCAUAGACUUUAUAUUGUGUUUGCUUAGUAGUUCCAUAAGUUCUAUGGAUUAGUAUAGUGAAGGAAUUCAUUCUGGAACAGGACAUCAUGACUUUAUAUGAACCAUAUUUGAUGUGAACCUCUGUUACCAUUACUGUAGAAGUAUGAAGAUCGUUACUGUUAGUAUUGUGUAGACUGUUGAUGUUAGUUAUUAAACUCAGUUCCACAGACUGGGUUUGUAAUAAUUAUAUGAUUACAUCAUUGUUGAAUAAAGAACCCUAGACUAAGAUGAAUUGGACUUGUUAUUAUUUGACUGUCCAGAAAUCACCUUUUACAUUGGCGCCC